GCAGUAGCCGCGGUAACACCGAGGGUGCGAGCGUUAAUCGGAUUUACUGGGCGUAAAGCGUGCGUAGGCGGCUUUUUAAGUCGGAUGUGAAAUCCCUGAGCUUAACUUAGGAAUUGCAUUCGAUACUGGGAAGCUAGAGUAUGGGAGAGGAUGGUAGAAUUCCAGGUGUAGCGGUGAAAUGCGUAGAGAUCUGGAGGAAUACCGAUGGCGAAGGCAGCCAUCUGGCCUAAUACUGACGCUGAGGUACGAAAGCAUGGGGAGCAAACAGGAUUAGAUACCCCCGUAGUCCCUGUCUCUUAUAC
rnacentral:rRNA from 1 species